GUUGCUCGGAAUCACUGGGCGUAAAGGGUGCGUAGGCGGGUUUUUAAGUCAGGGGUGAAAUCCUGGAGCUCAACUCCAGAACUGCCUUUGAUACUGAAGAUCUUGAGUUCGGGAGAGGUGAGUGGAACUGCGAGUGUAGAGGUGAAAUUCGUAGAUAUUCGCAAGAACACCAGUGGCGAAGGCGGCUCACUGGCCCGAUACUGACGCUGAGGCACGAAAGCGUGGGGGAGCAAACAGG
rnacentral:rRNA from 1 species